rnacentral:rRNA from 1 species
GAUGAACGCUGGCGGCGUGCCUAAUACAUGCAAGUCGAGCGAACAGACGAGGAGCUUGCUCCUCUGACGUUAGCGGCGGACGGGUGAGUAACACGUGGAUAACCUACCUAUAAGACUGGGAUAACUUCGGGAAACCGGAGCUAAUACCGGAUAACAUGUUGAACCGCAUGGUUCAACAGUGAAAGACGGUCUUGCUGUCACUUAUAGAUGGAUCCGCGCCGCAUUAGCUAGUUGGUAAGGUAACGGCUUACCAAGGCAACGAUGCGUAGCCGACCUGAGAGGGUGAUCGGCCACACUGGAACUGAGACACGGUCCAGACUCCUACGGGAGGCAGCAGUAGGGAAUCUUCCGCAAUGGGCGAAAGCCUGACGGAGCAACGCCGCGUGAGUGAUGAAGGUCUUCGGAUCGUAAAACUCUGUUAUUAGGGAAGAACAAAUGUGUAAGUAACUAUGCACGUCUUGACGGUACCUAACCAGAAAGCCACGGCUAACUACGUG